rnacentral:rRNA from 1 species
GUUACUGCUAUCGGAGUUCGAUUAAGCCAUGCGAGUCUAAAGGUUUCUUCGGAAACCUUGGCGGACUGCUCAGUAACACGUGGAUAACCUACCCUUGGGACUGGAAUAACCCCGGGAAACUGGGGAUAAUACCGGAUAGAUCAGGGAUGCUGGAAUGCACCUUGAUCCAAAGCUCCGGCGCCCAAGGAUGGGUCUGCGACCUAUCAGGUUGUAGUGGGUGUAACGUACCUACUAGCCGACGACGGGUACGGGUUGUGAGAGCAAGAGCCCGGAGAUGGAUUCUGAGACACGAAUCCAGGCCCUACGGGGUGCAGCAGGCGCGAAACCUUUACAAUGUGCGAAAGCAUGAUAAGGGAACUCCGAGUGCCAGUAUCUAAUACUGGCUGUCCUUGUGCCUAAAACGCACAAGAUAGCAAGGGCCGGGUAAGACCGGUGCCAGCCGCCGCGGUAACACCGGCGGCCCGAGUGGUAGCCGCUAUUAUUGGGUCUAAAGGGUCCGUAGCCGGCUCGAUAAGUCCUCUGGGAAAUCUGGUUGCUUAACAAUCAGACUGCCAAGGGAUACUGUCGAACUUGAGACCGGGAGAGGUAAGAGGUACUUCAGGGGUAGGAGUGAAAUCUUGUAAUCCCUGGGGGACCAUCUGUGGCGAAGGCGUCUUACCAGAACGGGUCUGACGGUGAGGGACGAAAGCUGGGGGCGCAAACCGGAUUAGAUACCCGGGUAGUCCCAGCCGUAAACGAUGCUCGCUAUGUGUCAGGUACGGUGUGACCGUAUCUGGUGCCGUAGGGAAGCCGUGAAGCGAGCCACCUGGGAAGUACGGUCGCAAGACUGAAACUUAAAGGAAUUGGCGGGGGAGCACUACAACGGGUGGAGCCUGCGGUUUAAUUGGAUUCAACGCCGGA